GAAAGAAAUGAAAUUAUGUAAUGAGGUUUCUAACUGGGCCCAGGAGGGGGCGAGGUAGGCAAAACAGAGACUAGCUCUGCCUGGGGGAAAAAAAAGCAAGAAGAUUUGUGACCAGCCUAGGCGACAUAGUGAGACCUGUCUCUACAAAAAAUAUAAAAUUAGCUGGGCGUGGUGGCGCGCGCCUGUGGUCCAAGCUUCUCCGGAGGCUGAGGUCGGGGGAUCGCCUGAGCCCUGGAGGUCGUUGCUGCAUUGAGCCGUGAACGCACCACUGCCUUCCAGCCUGGGCAACAGAGCGAGACUCUAUCUCAAAACAAAACAAAACAAAACAAGAAAAAGAAAAAAAGAAGAAAAUUAAAAAAAAAAAAAAGAAAAAGAAAACGUCCCAGGUCUGUUGAAGCACUAAGAAAAGCAGAAAAAGAAAGGGGAGCCAGGGAAGGGCUGGCAGUCUGUGCAAUUUAAGGGAGCACCAGAAAAACUGGCAAUCAAAUAAUAUAUUAAUGUAAUAUUUUAAAAAGUAAAAAUUAAUGCAGGAAAUCCGGGAGGAACAAAAUAAGAGUCAUGUGUACCUUAACAACAGGGUAAGGUCUGAGGAUUGCGUCACUAGGCGAUUUUGUUGCUGUGCGAACACCACAGAAUGUACUUUGAUGACCUAGAUGGUGGAGCCUGGACACACCUCGGCUGUGUGGUGUGGCCUGCUGCUUCCAGGCUGCAAACCUGACAGCAUGGGGCUGUACUGAAUACCGCAAACCAUUGUAAUUCAUGGGGAAAGCGUGAACGCAGUCCCCCACUACAACAAAUUAUGCAGUCGAGUUUUCCACAUUUGGGGAUAUCGCAGGGGUCAGCACAUCCGGAGUGCAAUCGAUGAGCCUCACGCUGGGAAAAACCACCUUCGUGAUCAUGGUAUCUUCCCUGCCAGAGAGAAACCAAUCAGCUUCAUUUUCAACUUCUUCUAUGACUCCAGAGGAUUCACUUUGCAUCUUGUGACAAAUGAAUAUAUUACCUGAAAAAAAAAUGACAGGAUAGAUACAUGUUGGAGAGGAGAAUUACAGGGCUUUCAAAGAGGAAAAGAAAAUGCCAGUAUCUCAGGUAUCCAGUAUAUGGCCCCAUUGAUUCAAAGAAAGCAUCUACAGUACAUAUCAGAAUGGAAAGAUGUUGGAAUCUCUGUGAUAAAGCAGGACUCUGGAGUGAAGGGAUUAAUAUUGACCAGAGCCAAUGAGGUCAUCUCAUCCUUGAGGGGAGCAGGUGUGAGCUUCAAAUGCUUAGGGCCUCUGGAAGGAAGCUUCCCUGUUGGAGAAAUCACCAACCGGCUCAGCAUGGUCUGAAUGAGGAUGACAAAAGGCAAGUCAUAAUAGCAUUAGUAAAGACAUUCCUUAUCAGUUAGCUAGUUAAUAUUUGAAUCUAAGAAUGCUUUUGCUGAAGGGGCCUUAGAGAUUAUCUGGUUCCAUGUGAACUGGUUGCAUUGUAACUGCUCCUCUUAUGAAAACUAUAGAAUCCCAGUCUCUACCUCUAGAUAUUCUGAUUCAUGAAGUCAACAUAGGAAUCUGUACUUUAGCCAAGCUCCAACCCCUUCCCCUGGGCAAUUCUGUUAGCUAGCUAUGAAAACCAGUUGUAGUCCUAUCUCCAGUUUUUAAAGACAUGGACAUUAAGUUUAGACAAAUAAAAAUGACUCUACAUUCUCAGAGCUUAUGCUUUAACUUCCCCUCAAUUAUUCAUCCAAAUAUUUGUUUGGUGCCUACUAUGUAGCAGAUGCUGGGUUAGACGCCAAGUGGUACAGAAGUGAAUUCUAAAUCUUAAG